rnacentral:lncRNA from 1 species
GACUACUCCAAAUGCUCUCUGAGCUUCACUUUCAGCCGAUUCUCUACAGUGAUCGACUGCUCUCCGAAUCUCUUCCAGACUUCUCCCAGCCAUGAUCGACUUUGCUCCAAACUCCUUUCGAGCUUCGUCGACGUCCGAACUUCUCCAACAACAGGACUUCUGCAGUAGCCAGACUCCAUCCGAGUUUCUACGACAGUCGAUCGCC